GACGAACGCUGGCGGCGUGCUUAACACAUGCAAGUCGAACGAAGAGCGAUGGAAGCUUGCUUCUAUCAAUCUUAGUGGCGAACGGGUGAGUAACGCGUAAUCAACCUGCCCUUCAGAGGGGGACAACAGUUGGAAACGACUGCUAAUACCGCAUACGAUCUGACCUCGGCAUCGAGGAUAGAUGAAAGGUGGCCUCUACAUGUAAGCUAUCACUGAAGGAGGGGAUUGCGUCUGAUUAGCUAGUUGGAGGGGUAACGGCCCACCAAGGCGAUGAUCAGUAGCCGGUCUGAGAGGAUGAACGGCCACAUUGGGACUGAGACACGGCCCAGACUCCUACGGGAGGCAGCAGUGGGGAAUCUUCCGCAAUGGACGAAAGCCUGACGGAGCAACGCCGCGUGAGUGAUGACGGCCUUCGGGUUGUAAAGCUCUGUUAAUCGGGACGAAAGGCCUUUUUGCGAAUAGUGAGAAGGAUUGACGGUACCGGAAUAGAAAGCCACGGCUAACUACGUG
rnacentral:rRNA from 1 species